GACGAACGCUGGCGGCGUGCUUAACACAUGCAAGUCGAACGGAAAGGCCCUGCUUGCAGGGUACUCGAGUGGCGAACGGGUGAGUAACACGUGGGUGAUCUGCCCUGCACUUCGGGAUAAGCCUGGGAAACUGGGUCUAAUACCGGAUAGGAGCCAUUUUUAGUGUGAUGGUUGGAAAGUUUUUUCGGUGUAGGAUGAGCUCGCGGCCUAUCAGCUUGUUGGUGGGGUAAUGGCCUACCAAGGCGGCGACGGGUAGCCGGCCUGAGAGGGUGGACGGCCACAUUGGGACUGAGAUACGGCCCAGACUCCUACGGGAGGCAGCAGUGGGGAAUGUUGCACAAUGGGCGCAAGCCUGAUGCAGCGACGCCGCGUGGGGGAUGACGGCCUUCGGGUUGUAAACUCCUUUCGCUAGGGACGAAGCUUUUUGUGACGGUACCUAGAUAAGAAGCACCGGCUAACUACGUG
rnacentral:rRNA from 1 species